rnacentral:misc_RNA from 1 species
ACAAAGUCUCAGAAUGGUUUUGCUCAAAAUAACUAUGAUUCUUUGGAUGAUAUAAUGAAUGCGAUGAUCAAACGGGAGCAAAACGAGUCGAUGCUAAUGGAUGGAGAGUUUGGAUUUGAUGCCUACUCCCUUGGAUCAUGUUUGUGAGACUUUGCUAUAGCUGAUUUGUAGAGAAACAGGGCAGCCAAAAUCCCAAGUCCAUUCUUCUUCUGGAGGAAUUUGUACCAUCUUGUAAUCUAUUAUGAAUUUAUUUUUUCUUUUAACCCCAUCUUCCCUUUUCC